GAUGGUGUAGCUCAGUGGAUAGAGCGCUUCCCUGCGGAGGAAGAGGUCGGAGGUUCGAUCCCUCUCACCAUCG
rnacentral:tRNA from 1 species